UGCCGCGUGGGAGACGGUACGGUAUGCCGUCGUUGUUAUGCACAGGGCCGUUCGUUGUGCUCGUUUCAGCUUUUUCCUGUUCUUAUCGGUAUUCGCUGCUCUAGCCCACACCGGUGCUCCGUAAGUUACGAUGGACUUCCACACAUUGUAGUAGAGCCUACGAGCCAAGCUGGGCGGCCCGUUGAUGUUGGGUAGAAUUCCCCUAAGGGCUCCUAUUAACUUGUCGGCUCUGUUACACACCAUCUCGAUAUGCGCACCGAACCUCCGACUGGAGUCGAUGACAACUCCGAGAUGGUGUGUAAUAGAGCCGACAAGUUAAUAGGAGCCCUCAGGGGAAUACUACCUAACAUCAACGGGCCGCCCAGCUUGGCUCGUAGGCUCUACUACAAUGUGUGGGAGUCCAUCGUGACUUACGGAGCACCGGUGUG
rnacentral:misc_RNA from 1 species